UUCUCAUAUACAUGUCAUUAACUCCAAGGGGUUAGAGAGAGAUUUGGUUUCUGGUUGUAGUGAAUUAUCUCAUAGCCCUAUAUGAAAUAAAGUUGAGUGAGCAAUUUGCGAAAACUUAGAACAAACACAAUUGGUUCCGUAUGCUUCAUCAAGCACAAGGGCAAUGCAAAAGAAAGCAAAAGGAAGAGGGAAAAAAAUAAAUAAAUAAAUAAAAAAUUUGGCGGUACCAUAACAAACAAUAGGCGCUUGUUUUAAAAUUUUCAAGAGUUUCCGUAAACCUCACAUCCCUAUUUCCACCCUCUUUCCCAUGCAACUCUCAAUUCCCAUAGAUGACCUCUCUAUUUCCCAUAUAUCUCUCUUCCCUCUCACAAGCUUUCCCGUAGAUAACCUCUCACUUCCCUAUUUCCCAUAGACCUUUCUUCCCUCUUGCGUGCUCAUCUCUCCCUCUUCAUUUCCCGUAGAUCUCUCUUCCUUCUCACAAGCUUUUGUCUUCAAAAUCUCGAAUCCAACGCGAAUCUCGAAGCCGACGCGAAUUAAGUCCCAAAAUCAAGUUUGCAGAGGGGUUGAUGGGUUGCAGGUAGAGAGAGGGAUCUACGGGAGGGAAGAGAAGUCUACUAGCGCAGCGCCUCAACUGAAGGUCCUUCUUCUUCUUCCUCUUCAUUCUUUUGGCCCUAAACUCCAAUUUUUGUUUUGUUAUAUGCAAACAGGAUUUCUGUAAACAGGGGUUAUCUAAUCGAGAGGACUUUGAUGGGUUUGUCAAGAAGGGCGAUCUUCCCGGUUAUGCUAUUCUAAAUACACCAAAAGGUCCUAUCACAGUGGAACUUUUCAAGGAUGGUUCUCCAGAGGUUGUGGAUAGAUUUAUUGACUUAUGGUGAGUAUUCGACAUCACAUGUAUCUUGCAUACAUACUUGCUGUAGUAAUAUUAAAUCAUGUCUAUUUGAAGCUAUUUCUCUACAGGGUAAGAGAAUAAAGUUAAAAUU